ACGACUUCUAUGGAGCUCGGGAUUACCCUGUUGUGAAGUACUUGCGAAGACCCUUGUAUUUUGAGGUAGAGCUCCUGUACAGCAGGGAUCCACAGGCUGAAUUGUUUUUGGAGAACUGCUGGGCAACCUAUUCUGCUGACAGGAAUAGCUCUCCAAAGUGGGAUGUUGUUGUGGACAGCUGUGAAAACUCUGCAGAUGAGUACUUGACCAUCUUUCACCCAGUCUCCAGCAAUGCAAGAGUGCUGUUCCCUUCCCAUGUGAAGAGGUUUGAAGGUUUGCUGCUUGCUUUGCAAGCAGCAAAUAAUCACUGUGCUCAAAUCUUUAGUGAGUUUGGAAUGAAAACAAAUAACUGCACUUUUGCAAGAAACACUUACUAUGAUGCAAUAUAUUUGUUUUUCAAUUCAGUAAUCCUCAUUGGAUGAUGGUCCUGCCUGAUCUAUUGAUGCUUGUUUUGCUUGACAAGGUGUGCUGUCUUUCAGAUUUACUUCCACUGCAGUGUUGUGGUAUGUGAUUCAAACCGGCCAUCAGACAGCCUCUGUAGUAGACGGUGCAUUCCAGGAAAACAGAGGCUUGGUCGCAGUGCUGAAGGGAUGGAUGGUGGUGCAGUAAAGGCAUUUGUGUCUUCUGGCCCAAUUGAGCUGAAGAGAGAUGGAUCCCUUCACUUUAUGCCUAGAAGCGGCCAAGUCAAUGUGUGGUCCCUUCUGGGAGCUGCAAUGGGUGUGUGUUCAGUGGUUGUCUUUGUAGCUGGAGUUGUAUAUUUUUGGAAAAUGCCCAAAA